CAGCAGUCCUUGUGCCUUAAUUGUGUGUAAACUUUAAUGAGCACAACUUUUUUUUCUCCUUUUAAUUAGCGGUCUGUGUUGUUACACUACAUUCUUAUUUUCCACGUGGCAGCCUACAGCCCUUAAAGAAGGCCCAAUGUUGCGAUAGUACACAAGCAGCACAGCAGGGACGCCCUACAGUAUUGUAUUGUCAUCGCUGAUGAAUGGAGCUGACACUAUGUCGGUCUGACUAUACUUAAUGCAGGGGGUCGGUGACCACAUUUCUUUCAUUCCAAAUUCACGCAUUUGAAACUGUAGACACCUAUGCUGAUCGCUCGCUCGAUAAAAGAUCCCCAUGACACCUCUGCAGGAGGUUCGCGACCUCCAAUGAGAGCUGGUGGACUGUGAAGAGGGUCUGACUGCCGCUGGCAACACCGCAAAGCUGUGGCGUACGUCACUGGGGGACGCGCAGGCAACAUGCUCCUGCAGGCAUGUGCACCCUAUCUCAUUUCGUGUGUCAGGACUGAUCCAUUGUUUUCCAGAGAUAUACAACCAGUACAUUCCAGUACAUUGUUGUUGCGGUCCUAUGAUUCUCGAGGAGUAACAAGGAAUAAACAACACAUUCCCUUCACCUGUGUGACGUAAUCUUGCUCAUAGCAGGAGUGGGAUUUGCAUACAAGACAUCAGACUCACUCACACGAGGAAAUGACACCAAGAUACACCACGUUAUUACGGAGAGUGACUUGUCAUCUGCGAGACGCGGCCAUCGCCAUCUUUGCCCUUUGAACGAGAAGCUUGACCCCCGCCAUCACGACACGUUACACGGCUUAGAAUACUCCUUCAGCCGUGACGUCUUGUGCUGACUGCCAGUGAAUGAUAAGACAAAGCAUUUGACAAUUCCAGGGUCGCACGCUCUAUAGGGACGUUGCUACAAACCAGAACUGAAUCCCUCCCUGAAGCUCGCUAAUAAACGUCACGUGUUGCCGGACCGCCGUCAUGGCUCUCAAACCCAAAAGCGCACCAGCCCAAACUGUAGAGUCCAGAUUCGUCAAAAACAAGACGGAUGCCAUGAAGGAGAUAGAGGCCUGGGUCAAGAAGGACGACGACCCCUUGAUUUCUCAUGAAGCCAUUCGCGUGGCUGGUCAGCUGACAGAAAACGUUACUGAGGACCGGAUGUUGCGUGCGAAGCUGUGGGAGUUAUCCAAAGAACGCUACAAGUUUCUCAGCAAAAGCGACUAUGAAAAGAAGAUAUUCCAAGACCGAAUGAGGCGCAGGUCGGCUGCUCUGGUUCGAAAGUUCGCCGUGCACAGCGCCGGUCGUGGUGACUACGCAUGCGCGUUGGAUUUAAAUGUCGACAAACCACCUCAAAAACAAUGGCGGAAUGCCAGAACUACUUCGCUAUUUUGUUCGCUGACGAAAAAUGCAAAGAAAAGAAGACAAAGAUGUCUUUCGGGGCAGAUGUAGCCAAUAGAACCAGCGUGAGCGUGAAGAGUUCCACUCUCGGAGUCUCUGACAAGUCAACCGAGUCGUCGCUGACUGCCGCAGAGGUUCAAGGGACAGUGGCGCGAACAGAGAUGAACGAGCGUCUGCCGACACCUCUGGUAGAGCUCGACAGACUCAAAUCAGCAGGUAAAGAAGAGUCAAGAUCGAGUCUGCGACUGCUGCCAAAGCAAGUUCCCCCACACAUGCCCCACGCCCGAUUUAAGAAAGCAUCUGUGACGGACAUUGAAUGUGAGCCAGCAGCCAUAAGCAGGCCUACGAAUAGUCAUCACUCAUCAUGGUGGGCAGACGACAACAGAAGCACGAAGGACGUGACGCUGCCAGCGCUAGCCUCUCGACCUUUGGGGUUAACGCCGCGCGGCGAAUGUCUGCCGCAUCCUGCUGCAACUCGGAUCCCUGCAGCUUAGCAGACACAGCUGCAUGGACGGCGGCGGCCAUGCAGAAAGCAGCCUUCCUGUGGGGUAGAUCAGAGGCUCCACGCGGGGCUGUGACCAGGGACCCGCGCUACGCCAAACUGGAGAGCUCUCUGGCUCCAUCCGCACCGCAGCAAGGCCACCGCGACCUGUGCGCCGUCAUCAGCAGCAUCGAGUCCCUGCGCGCUCCGCCUCUGAUGAGCAGGAAGCUCCGGUCCAAGACGGAACUGAAGGCACUCCAAUUUAUGAGGGAAAAAGGUUUUGUCUUUUAAUUAGUCUGGCUACCGCUCGAGCUAAUGGUAACGCUGUUUGACAGAAAGAUGCUGAUUAAAAAAAAAGUCACAGGCAAGGACUGGCAUGCAAUGUUUUGAUAGUAAAAUACUGAUAUGAAAGGCACAGGCAAGAAUAGCAUGCAAUGUUUCAUUAGAAAGGUACUAACAAGAAAGUCGUAG
rnacentral:lncRNA from 1 species